UACGAAGGGGACUAGCGUUGUUCGGAAUUACUGGGCGUAAAGCGCACGUAGGCGGAUUUGUAAGUCAGGGGUGAAAUCCCGGGGCUCAACCUCGGAACUGCCUUUGAUACUGCAAAUCUCGAGUCCGAUAGAGGUGGGUGGAAUUCCGAGUGUAGAGGUGAAAUUCGUAGAUAUUCGGAGGAACACCAGUGGCGAAGGCGGCUCACUGGUCCAUUACUGACGCUGAGGUGCGAAAGCGUGGGGAGCAAACAGG
rnacentral:rRNA from 1 species